UACAGAGGUGGCGAGCGUUAUUCGGAAUUAUUGGGCGUAAAGGGCGCGUAGGCGGCUUGACAAGUCCCGGGUGAAAUCCCUCGGCUCAACCGAGGAACUGCCUUGGAAACUGUCUGGCUUGAGGCCGGGAGAGGGUAGUGGAAUUCCCAGUGUAGCGGUGAAAUGCGUAGAUACUGGGAGGAACACCGGUGGCGAAGGCGGCUACCUGGACCGGUUCUGACGCUGAGGCGCGACAGCGUGGGGAGCAAACAGG
rnacentral:rRNA from 1 species